rnacentral:rRNA from 1 species
UACGAAGGGGAGCUAGCGUUGCUCGGAAUCACUGGGCGUAAAGCGCACGUAGGCGGAUAUUUAAGUCGGUGGUGAAAUCCUGGAGCUCAACUCCAGAACUGCCUCCGAUACUGAAUGUCUUCGAGUCCGGGAGAGGUGAGUGGAACUGCGAGUGUAGAGGUGAAAUUCGUAGAUAUUCGCAAGAACACCAGUGGCGAAGGCGGCUCACUGGCCCGAUACUGACGCUGAGGUGCGAAAGCGUGGGGAGCAAACAGG